ensembl:lncRNA
CUGAACCGGUUCAAUCAUCGCCAGUGAACUGUCAGUGAGUUGGAGAACAUAUCUACUAUCACUUGGAAUCUGAAGAAUCCUUUGCGUGACAGCGCCUAGUAUAAGUGCGUUUCAAAAGAACAAACGCUCCCUCUGGUGAUAUGGGUGUAAAAAUGCUGCAGUGCUUUCCUUUCUACAGACGCUGCAAGGAGAGGUGCAAAAGACAGUGUCCUCCUGAGACGGCAGUAGCAAGUGAAGAGGUGAAACCUCGGCUGUGUUCCACUACCUCCUGGGGCAGCGAAGGGGACAGCGGCAGCAGUCUGAGUUGCCCACAGGCCUAUUUUUCCCACAAGGCUCGGCUCUCACUGAGACACCAGAUGGAUAGCAACAUCAAUGCAGUGGAUGCCACAUACUAACUAUGUCUGCAGGCGGUCUCUGGAGAAUCCUCGAAAGUAAACUUCAGAUUUACAGCCCCAGUCCAGUUUAAGUCCCUUAUUGGAGAUUGAGCCAUUAAGAACAAGAAACAUGGAAGUUUGCCUCUUCUUGCACGCCUAUAGACACUCAUGAGCGUCAGCUGUAUGCAUUGUAAUAACAAUGUCAAGAUAAGUGUCUGAAUUCCGGUACAGCAAUGAGUGUAAAAUGGUACAGCUGAGUGUAAUUUGGUGAAAGGGAUAAUUUAAAACACUCUUAAGAGUGAUGUUUACAUGAUAACCAGUAAGUGCUUUUUUUCUAGCCUGUAGCAUUUUUCCUCCACAGCUUCUGCUAUACAUGCAUCUACAUUAUCUCUACUGGAUGCUGGUUUUAUCUGAGGAGACGCUGACAUCUUAAUGCAAUUGAGUUUUUGAACCAGAUAUAAAUUCGUUCAGGAUUUUUGAUGAAUAGCAGUGUACCUAAUAAAAUCAACCGCGCUUUGCCUUGCUGGUCA